rnacentral:rRNA from 1 species
CAUUACAGAGACUCUGCCCUUUGGGUAGACCUCCCACCCUGUGUCGUUAUACCUUUGUUGCUUUGGCGGGCCGCGGGGCUCCGGCCCUGCCCCUGGCUCCGGCUAGGGCGCGCCCGCCAGAGGAUCUCAAAACCUGAACGUUAGUGUCGUCUGAGUACUAUAUAAUAGUUAAAACUUUCAACAACGGAUCUCUUGGUUCUGGCAUCGAUGAAGAACGCAGCGAAAUGCGAUAAGUAAUGUGAAUUGCAGAAUUCAGUGAAUCAUCGAGUCUUUGAACGCACAUUGCGCCCCUUGGUAUUCUGGGGGGCAUGCCUGUUCGAGCGUCAUUACAACCCUCAAGCUCUGCUUGGUCUUGGGCGUCACCGGUCCCGGUGUGCCUUAAAAUCAGUGGCGGCGCCAUCUGGCUCUAAGCGUAGUACAUACUCUCGCUACAGACGUCCGGUGGAUGCUGGCCAGCAACCCCCAACUUAUCAAGGUUGACCUCGGAUCAGGUAGGGAUACCC